rnacentral:rRNA from 1 species
GACGAACGCUGGCGGCGUGCUUAACACAUGCAAGUCGAACGAAGUGGCGAACGGGUGAGUAACGCGUAAUCAACCUGCCCUUCAGAGGGGGACAACAGUUGGAAACGACUGCUAAUCCCCCAUACGGAAGGAGGGGUUUGCGUCUGAUUAGCUAGUUGGGGGGGUAACGGCCCACCAAGGGGAUGGUCAGUAGCCGGUCUGGGAGGAUGAACGGCCAAAUUGGGACUGGGACACGGCCCAGACUCCUACGGGGGGCAGCAGUGGGGAAUCUUCCGCAAUUGACGAAAGUCUGACGGAGCAAAGCCGCGUGAGUGAUGACGGCCUUCGGGUUGGAAAGCUCUGUUAAUCGGGACGCGGUACCGGAAUAGAAAGCCACGGCUAACUACGUGCCAGCAGCCGCGGUAAUAC